rnacentral:ribozyme from 18 species
AAAAAAAAAAAAAAAAAAAAAAAAAAUUUUUUUUUCUUUUUUUUUU